AAACCCUAGAAGGUUAGACUCUAGUUAACUAUUUAUCCUUAGGGCAGAGCUUGUUAAGAAGAACAAAGUGUUCUGGUGUAUUUCCACAUGGUAAAACUCACAGAAGUGUCGGGACACCCAUAUGACUGGGUUCCCCUAAAUCCCCUAUGACUAGCUAUGAGCAGGUACCACUCAAACUCCACACUUGAGUUUCCAGGAACAUGUCAAUUACAAUUCAGAUCUCUCUACUCUGAUAUUGGUACCUGUAGAGGUUGCUAUUUGUGGGUUUCUGCUCUACUAAGCUGUGACUCUGUGUUUUCACCUGUUGGUAUCUCCAAUUAUGGGAGCAGUAGUUUGCCCUGUGACCUCAUUUUAAAUAAUUUAUCUCACUUGGUUGAAAAUCAUGAACCAUAAGACAAAACACUAGAAAUAGAAUUCAGUAGCAUAUUAAAAGAAUUAUACACCAUGACUGAAUGGGAUUUAUUCAUGGACUGUAAGGAUGGUUCAGCACAUGAAAAAUCAAAGAAUAUACCACAUUAACAAAAUGAAGGAAAAAACCCACAUGAUCAUCUCAAUUGAUGUUUGAUAAAAUUCAAAAAACCCUUAAAUGAUAAAACCACUCAAAAAACUAAGACCAGAAACUACCUCGCUAUAACAAAAGUUAUAUAUGACAAACCCACAAAAAGCAUUAUAUUCAACGAUGAAAGAUUAAAAGCUUUUUCUGUAAAAUCAGAAACAAGAUAAGGUUGCCUGGUUGUCUACUUCUAUUCUACAGAGCACUGGAAGUGCUAGUCAGAGAAAUUAGGCAAAAAAAAAAAAAAAAAAAAAAGAA